GAUAGAACUUUACACUUUCUAUCCGCCUGGGUACUACAAGCCCCAGCUUAAAAUCCAAAGGACUUGGCGGUGCUUUAGACCCCACCUAGAGGAGCCUGUCCUAGAACCGACAACCCCCGUUCAACCUCACCCUCCCUUGUUUAUCCCGCCUAUAUACCGCCGUCGUCAGCUUACCCUGUGAAGGACUAAUAGUAAGCAGAGUCAGUAUACUCAAAACGCCAGGUCGAGGUGUAGCGCAUGAGAGGGGAAGAGAUGGGCUACACUCCCUAAAUAAGGGAAUACGAAAAAUACAGUGAAAUAUUGUAUUAGAAGGAGGAUUUAGCAGUAAGAAGAAAACAGAGUGUUCU
rnacentral:rRNA from 1 species